rnacentral:rRNA from 1 species
AACGAACGCUGGCGGCAUGCCUAGCACAUGCAAGUCGAACGAGACCUUCGGGUCUAGUGGCGCACGGGUGCGUAACGCGGGGGAACCUGCCCUUAGGUUCGGAAUAACUCCCCGAAAGGGGUGCUAAUACCGGAUAAUGUCUUCGGACCAAAGAUUUAUCGCCUUUGGAUGGGCCCGCGUUGGAUUAGCUAGUUGGUAGGGUAAAAGCCUACCAAGGCGACGAUCCAUAGCUGGUCGGGGAGGAGGCUCAGCCACACUGGGACUGAGACACGGCCCAGACUCCUACGGAACGCAGCAGUGGGGAAUAUUGGACGAGGGGCGAAGGCCUGAUCCAGCAAUGCCGCGUGAGUGAUGAAGGCCUUAGGGUUGUAAAGCUCUUUUACCCGGGAUGAUAAUGACAGUACCGGGAGAAUAAGCUCCGGCUAACUCCAUG